UACGUAGGGUGCGAGCGUUGUCCGGAAUUAUUGGGCGUAAAGAGCUCGUAGGCGGUCUGUCGCGUCUGCUGUGAAAUCCCGAGGCUCAACCUCGGGCUUGCAGUGGGUACGGGCAGGCUAGAGUGCGGUAGGGGAGGAUGGAACUCCUGGUGUAGCGGUGGAAUGCGCAGAUAUCAGGAAGAACACCCGUGGCGAAGGCGGUUCUCUGGGACGGUACUGACGCUGAGACGCGAAAGCGUGGGGAGCGAACAGG
rnacentral:rRNA from 1 species